CCUACGGGCGGCAGCAGUGGGGAAUAUUGGACAAUGGGGGCAACCCUGAUCCAGCCAUGCCGCGUGUGUGAAGAAGGCCCUCGGGUUGUAAAGCACUUUCAGUGAGGAAGAACGCCUGGUGGUUAAUACCCAUCAGGAAAGACAUCACUCACAGAAGAAGCACCGGCUAACUCCGUGCCAGCAGCCGCGGUAAUACGGAGGGUGCGAGCGUUAAUCGGAAUUACUGGGCGUAAAGCGCGCGUAGGUGGCUUGAUAAGCCGGUUGUGAAAGCCCCGGGCUCAACCUGGGAACGGCAUCCGGAACUGUCAAGCUAGAGUGAAGGAGAGGAAGGUAGAAUUCCCGGUGUAGCGGUGAAAUGCGUAGAGAUCGGGAGGAAUACCAGUGGCGAAGGCGGCCUUCUGGACUGACACUGACACUGAGGUGCGAAAGCGUGGGUAGCAAACAGGAUUAGAUACCCUUGUAGUC
rnacentral:rRNA from 1 species